rnacentral:rRNA from 1 species
AACGUAGGAGGCAAGCGUUAUCCGGAUUUACUGGGCGUAAAGCGUGCGCAGGCGGUUAUGCAAGACAGAUGUGAAAUCCCCGGGCUUAACCUGGGAACCGCAUUUGUGACUGCAUAGCUGGAGUACGGCAGAGGGGGAUGGAAUUCCGCGUGUAGCAGUGAAAUGCGUAGAUAUGCGGAGGAACACCGAUGGCGAAGGCAGUCCCCUGGGCCUGUACUGACGCUCAUGCACGAAAGCGUGGGGAGCAAACAGG